UCCCUGGUGGCUCAGCGGUUAAAGCAUCUGCCUGCAAUGCAGGAGACCCAGGUUCGAUCCCUGGGUCGGGAA
rnacentral:tRNA from 1 species